GUUCUCCCUUCAGCAGCACAAAUACUAAAAUUGGAACCAUACAGAGAAGAUUGGCAUGGCCCCUGCGCAAGAAUGACACGCAAAUUCGUGACGCGUUCCACAUUUUG
ensembl:snRNA U6 U6 spliceosomal RNA